rnacentral:rRNA from 1 species
CCUACGGGAGGCAGCAGUAGGGAAUUUUCGUCAAUGGGCGCAAGCCUGAACGAGCAAUGCCGCGUGAACGAGGAAGGUCUUCGGAUCGUAAAGUUCUGUUGAAGGGGAAAAAGAGCGGAGCGAGGAAAUGGUCUCCGAUUGAUAUUACCCUUCGAGGAAGUCACGGCUAACUACGUGCCAGCGACCGCGGUAAUACGUAGGUGGCGAGCGUUAUCCGGAAUGAUUGGGCGUAAAGGGUGCGUAGGCGGCCUGCUAAGUCUGGAGUGAAAGGUACCGGCUCAACCGGUACAGGCUCUGGAAACUGGCGGGCUAGAGAGCAGGAGAGGGCGGGGGAACUCCAUGUGUAGCGGUAAAAUGCGUAGAUAUAUGGAAGAACACCAGUGGCGAAGGCGGCCGCCUGGCCUGUUACUGACGCUGAGGCACGAAAGCGUGGGGAGCAAAUAGGAUUAGAUACCCGGGUAGUC